UUGCUAAAAGGAGACAAGUUACAGCUUGAUCAGUGUCUCUUGAUUUUAUACUGAUACGCCCAAGGAAAGGUCUUAGAGGCGACAGGUCUUGCUCUGUAAGCUGCAACUGAAAAACAGGAAGAGCUCUCACUUCAGCACCAGAAAAUAGGUGGUCCAGCCUGCCAGCAGCAGUGCUCCCAAGAGCACCGUGUAACUGAACAGCACGAAAGCCAAGAGUUCCUUCAGCACCUUCAGAAAAUGGACAGCGAACGAUUCCUGCAUGAUUUCCGCUUUGUAAGCUGGUGGAACGAAAUGCAUGGGAAUAGUCUGUUCUGUAAAACAGAAGGAGAAACAGGAGGAAUGAAAGAUGACGCAAAGCAGGAAGAGGCUGAGUUUGUGAUCUACAGCACCAGCUUGAAUGUACCCAUUUUGCAGCAGUGCCAUUGAGUUCAAUGUUGGUCUUGCUUCCAGAAAUGCGACCGUGUAUAAUUUUUGACUGUGUGCAGCAGCAGUCAGGAAGUAAGAUGGUACAAUCCUAAUCGAAAAGUCUUACCAUCAGCGUUCUUACAGGUAUUUGUACUGAUGGGGUAUUUUUGCUCAGCUAUAAUAUGGUAAAGUUACAUAUUUAACAUCCUCCACUGCUCCAGUGUUUCAGGUGACUUAUAAUGUCCUCGGGGCACUGAAUCCUCAAUCCUUAUUAUAAAAUAGUAAGAGAAAUGGGGCUGUGUAAUAUGGGUGCAUUCCAAAUCCCUUCAAAACAAUAGAAAAUGAAUUUUUGUCUUCCUUUGGUCACGUUGCUGAAACUUAGAAUGAUGCCUUCGUGUUUCGUUCCGUUUAGUGUUGGGGUGCCUCCAGCCAGAAGGCUGCUAGCGUCACCAGUCAAAAAGGGUUGUGCAGCUAUUCUAUAUUUUUUCUGUUUUUUUUUCCUGUGGACAGAAAUAGUGGGAAUACAUAGGAAAAUUGGAAAUGGAUGAUUCCCUAAACCCAUAUUUGAGAAUUGGCCUGUGGACCUGCUACCAAAAUUCUCCUCAGCCAUAACAUUAGCUCUGGAAUGCAGGAAUACAAGAAGGGUGUGUGUGUGUGAGUGGGUGUAACUUUAGUCCCGCAUGGAGAAUUUGCCAGGGUUGUUUUCUCUGUCCCGCUCCCUCCAUCUUCCAACGGAUCCUUGCACAAAUCCCCAUGUGCUCCAGGGUAGAACACAGCUUGUUUACCCCUCGUUGCUGUGAUUGCUACCCCUUUCAUCGGUUGCCAUUGCUUUCCGGUGCUUCAGAAAGUACAGCUACUUUAUUUUUGGCCCCUGGAAAUGGCACAAGUAUGCGUGGAUCUUUUUGUUACUGUGUAUGUCUGUCUAUUGCAAAUAUGCUUUU